AACGCGACCCCAGGUCAUGC
rnacentral:rRNA from 2 species